UUGAAAGCUUUGAAGUCUUCUGUUUAUGCACAGAAAACACAUAGAAGGGAGUUUCUCUACAUUGCCCUGCCAAUCUGUCUCAGACCUAACCUGGAAGGACAACCACUACUAGGGGUUAGAAGUUAGGUCAGUUUCCUGCCCAUUCAGUCCUUAGCCUAA
rnacentral:sRNA from 1 species